GACGAACGCUGGCGGCGUGCUUAACACAUGCAAGUCGAACGGAAAGGCCCUGCUUUUGUGGGGUGCUCGAGUGGCGAACGGGUGAGUAACACGUGAGUAACCUGCCCUUGACUUUGGGAUAACUUCAGGAAACUGGGGCUAAUACCGGAUAGGAGCUCCUGCUGCAUGGUGGGGGUUGGAAAGUUUCGGCGGUUGGGGAUGGACUCGCGGCUUAUCAGCUUGUUGGUGGGGUAGUGGCUUACCAAGGCUUUGACGGGUAGCCGGCCUGGGAGGGUGACCGGCCACGUUGGGACUGAGAUACGGCCCAGACUCCUACGGGAGGCAGCAGUGGGGAAUAUUGCACAAUGGGCGGAAGCCUGAUGCAGCAACGCCGCGUGCGGGAUGACGGCCUUCGGGUUGUAAACCGCUUUCGCCUGUGACGAAGCGUGAGUGACGGUAAUGGGUAAAGAAGCACCGGCUAACUACGUG
rnacentral:rRNA from 1 species